GUCGCAGCCCACUCCGCAUCCGUCUGCAUCACGUUCACCUAUAUGACAGGUUCGGAGACUGAAGGGAGUUGACGACUUGCCCACAGACCAGCUUUACUUCAUUUCAGCCAGCUUUCCGCAGAGAAUAAAAGUCAACGUGAAUGGACAACUGGAAGACUGAAAAAUGACGGACUUUGCAGGACCAGAUCAUCUGAACGAGGCCAACCUGCCACGGGGCUGCUUCCAGGUCCAGGAGGACAGCAGUGAGGAAUAAGACCUUUUCUGCAGGAUCACAGUCAAGGAAUCCGCUCAGGCUACGGAGACUCCUUAACAGGAGAUAAGAUAGUCUCUCGCACAGAUUCAGAGAGUUUAUAGACAUUUUAAAUGGCUUUAGCCAGAGUUGAAGACCUUGAAGGAGGACUUAAGGAACCAGAGCAGUGUCUUGAUCCGCCUCUAGGCUCAUCUAAUAAC